ensembl:lncRNA
UGACAGGAAAAAAUAAUGAUGAUUGUUGGAGGGGAUGUGGGAAAACUGGGACAUUGAUUCAUUGUUGGUGGAGUUGUGAACGAAUCCAACCAUUUUGGAGAGUAGUUUGGAACUAUGCUCAAAAAGUUAUCAAACUGUGCAUACCCUUUGAUCCAGCAGUGUUACUACUGGGAUUAUAUCCCAAAGAGAUUAUAAAGAAGGGAAAGGGACCUGUAUGUGCACGAAUGUUUGUGGCAGCCCUUUUUGUAGUGGCUAGAAACUGGAAACUGAAUGGAUGUCCAUCAGUUGGAGAAUGGCUGAAUAAAUUGUGGUAUAUGAAAAUUAUGGAAUAUUACUGUUCUGUAGGAAAUGACCAACAGGAUGAUUUCAGAAAGGCCUGGAGAGACUUACACGGACUGAUGCUGAGUGGGGUGAGCAGGACCAGGAGAUCAUUAUAUACUUCAACAACAAUACUAGAUGAUGACUAGUCCUGAUGGAUCAGGCCAUCCUCAGCAACAAGAUCAACCAAAUCAUUUCUAAUGGAGCAGUAAUGAACUGAACUAACUAUACCCAGAAAAAGAACUCUGGGAGAUGACUAAAAACCAUUACAUUGAAUUCCCAGUCCCUAUAUUUAUGCACACCUGCAUCUUUGAUUUCCUUCACAAGCUAAUUGUACAAUAAUUCAGAGUCUGGUUCUUUUUGUACAGCAAAAUAAUGUUUUGGUCAUGUAUACUUAUUGUGUAUCUAAGUUAUAUUUUAAUAUAUUUAACAUCUGCUGGUCAUCCUGCCAUUUGGGGGAGGGGGUGGGGGGGGGGUGAGAGGUGAGGAAUUGGAACAAGGGGUUUGGCGGUUGUUGAUGCUGUGAAGUUACCCAUGUAUGUGUCCUGUAAGUUAAAGGCUAUUAAAUAAAAAAAAAAAAAAAAAGAAAGAUCUCAUAGAGAUCUUCCAAGGCUGUCAUAUGGAGGAAGAAUUAGACUUGUAUUAUUUGGCCCCAGACAGUAAAAGGUAAAAUGAGCUAUUUUAGCCUUGAUGCCAGGGGAAAAAAAUACUUCCUAACAAUCAGAGGUGGAUACAACAAUAUAAACAGAAAGAAUCAUAAAAGAAUUAAAAAUUAAUGAGCAAUUCCUGGGUGUGGAACCCUGCAACAUUUUCAGAUUUUUUCAAUGUAUUGAUUGGUUUUGCUGAUUUUUCUUUUCGUCCUUUUUUUUCUUUUAAAAAAUUUUCUUAGUUAAAUAAGAUGGCUCUUUAGAAGGUGAAGUGGAAAGAUGAAGAAACUGAGGCAAUGAUCCUGAAUUCAGGAGGACCUGAAUUCAAAUCUAGCUUCAGACACUUAACACUUCCUAGCUGUGACACCCUGGGCAAGUCACUUAAUCCCAAUUGCCUCAGGGGAAAAAAAAGAAACUGAGGCAAUGGAAAAAAUAAAAUAUUUCUUUAAAUAUACAGAGAAAAAAAAGUCAGGUCAUAAAGACAAAAGCAGCUUUAAGAGUUCUAUAUUCAUUUUAUUAUAGAAAUAUAUUUAAAAGGAAAUAGAACUGUAUAAAAUAGAUUUAUCUUUCAUGUAUAAUAUUCUUUUUUCUCUUCUGUUGUGUAUAUAAGAUAAUGCAUGUUUAAUCAUGAUAAAAUAGAUAAAACAAGAUAAUGAGAGUAUAAUACUAUGUUCUACUAUGUGAGAAAAUUUUGUAUGUAUAAUAAUGAUUCAAAUAAAGAUAAAAUGAG